rnacentral:rRNA from 1 species
GCGGCGUGCCUAACACAUGCAAGUCGAACGUGAAGCCACCUCCGGGUGGUGGAAAGUGGCAGACGGGUGAGUAACGCGUGGGAAUCUACCCAAUGGUACGGAAUAACUCAGGGAAACUUGAGCUAAUACCGUAUGUGCCCGAAAGGGGAAAGAUUUAUCGCCAUUGGAUGAGCCCGCGUCGGAUUAGCUAGUUGGUGGGGUAACGGCCCACCAAGGCGACGAUCCGUAGCUGGUCUGAGAGGAUGAUCAGCCACACUGGGGCUGAGACACGGCCCAGACUCAUACGGGAGGCAGCAGUGGGGAAUAUUGGACAAUGGGCGCAAGCCUGAUCCAGCCAUGCCGCGUGAGUGAUGAAGGCCCUAGGGUUGUAAAGCUCUUUCGACGGGGACGAUAAUGACGGUACCCGUAGAAGAAGCCCCGGCUAACUUCGUGCCAGCCGCCGCAGUAAAAC